GCGUUUUGUUUAAAUUUUCUACGGCCUGUGUGUUUGUGUCUCUGAGUCUGCGACUUAGCUGCUUGUGUGGUUUGAUUUUGAUGCAUGGCUCUGAUGUGGUUCGAUUUUGUUUGGUGUUUUGAAAACAAAGAUGGAUCGGUACCAGAGAGUGGAGAAGCCAAGAGCAGAGACGCCAAUUGAUGAGAAUGAGAUUAGGAUUACGAGCCAAGGGAGGAUGCGAAACUACAUCACUUACGCCAUGACUCUGCUUCAGGACAAGGGUUCGGACGAAAUUGUUUUCAAGGCUAUGGGAAGAGCUAUCAACAAGACUGUGACGAUUGUGGAGCUAAUUAAGAGAAGAAUUGUCGGUCUUCACCAGUAUACUACAAUUGGAUCCACCGACAUAACUGAUACUUGGGAACCCCUUGAGGAAGGCCUUCUACCCUGGUGCGUGCUUUAGGUGGAGUUGUAGCGUCGUCUUCGCUUUUGGGGGUUUCUUGUUUCUCUAGGUGCGUGCUUUAUAAUUGAACUUCUUCUCUAGUUUCUCUAGUCACAAAUGACAUCUCCUCAGUUAGGAAGCACUUCCAUUAAUUGUUAAUUUACCUUGCUUUUAGAAGGAUUCAGUUACAACAAUCUUGUUUUCAAUUCCAGUUUGUGUUCUGUGGUGUUGAAAGUUGGAGAGAGAUCGAUUGAUAUGGGAAUGAAGAUACAAGGAUGCUAGUAAGACUUCAUUCAAGUCCUCAACUCGGUUAGUAUAUGAUGCAAGACUACCCAAAAACUUGGGAAGAUCAGAGAUGCUCAAGCUUCAAUCAAAUUUUGUACAAGUACUUUCACUUUUUGUUAGACUAGUCUGUAGCACUUAAAUGCAGAUAUGAAACUAUCUAAACAAUGGAUAUGUUAAUUCCUGUGUUGGGAUGAAAUAGUUUUUGGAAUUAA